UCUCUGUUGAAGGCUACCGACAGUCCUAAACUAUAUGAAUUGCUGACUUUAAAACUUCAGUUGGGUUCACACUCAAAAAUAACAGUUAUAGGAAUCCACCAUCCACCCUUCGCAAAUAAGUGUGUACUAAACAAACUCACUGGGUUUAAUUGCCAUUUUUACUACCCCAGAGGUGUCGAUCGCUGGAGAUUUUAAUCUUGCAGGAUGCUGACUGUUUAAAUUAUUUUUGUUACUCAUCUAAAUUUGACCCAGCUGAUUAAAAAAACAAACACUUGUCCAAACUUAAAGGACCCUAUGAAAUCACAUUUAAAAAUUCUCAAGAGAAAUAUGCUGGGAGUGGCUUAUUGCUUUGGGUAUGUCACGUUCUGACCUUUAUUUCCUUUGUUUUGUCAUUAUUUAGUAUGGUCAGGGCGUGAGUUGGGGUGGGCAGUCUAUGUUUGUUUUUCUAUAAUUUGUGGAUUUCUAUGUUUCGGCCUAGUAUGGUUCUCAAUCAGAGGCAGGUGUCAUUAGUUGUCUCUGAUUGAGAAUCAUACUUAGGUAGCCUGGGUUUCACUGUGUGUUUGUGGGUGUUUGUUUCCGUGUCUGUGUUUUUUCACCACACGGUACUGUUUUGGGUUUCGUUCAUUCCACGUUUAUUGUUUUUGUAGUCAGUUGUUCAUGUGUACAUUUUCGUAUUAAAAGAACCAUGGACACUUAACCACGCCGCAUAUUGGUCCUCCGAUCCUUCUCGCCUCUCCUCUUCGGAAGAAGAGGAGGAAAUCCCUUACAGGGUAUUAGUGACCACUGUCCCACUGUAUGUGUCAGGGAUAUAUGGAAUUUAAAACAUUUCAAUGAAUAGGCAUUUUUUUAUGACCUUUAUUUUGGUGACUUUGAUUAUGUUGCACCUAUACCUGACCCAGAGUUGGCUCUGAUCCACUUCUCAAAUGUUUCCGAUUAUAUUGUAUUACACGUAUACCGGUUCUAGAAAUGAUUGUGAUCAAGGCAGUACAUACAUGAUGAAACCUUGUGAAAUAAACACUUGCGCGAUUCAAAUGGAAUGA
rnacentral:lncRNA from 13 species